rnacentral:tRNA from 1 species
UUAACUAAAGCCAAAAAGAGGCAUAUCACUGUUAAUGGUAUCACUGAAUUUUAAAUUCUAGUUAAA